rnacentral:rRNA from 1 species
CCUACGGGUGGCAGCAGUGAGGAAUAUUGGUCAAUGGCCGGAAGGCUGAACCAGCCAUGCCGCGUGAAGGGCAGGGCCCUAGGGGCGUUAAACUUCUUUUGUGGGGGAGCAAGAAUGGUCACGUGUGGCCAGACGAGAGUACCGUACGAAUAAGAAUCGGCGAACUCCGUGCCAGCAGCCGCGGUAAUACGGGGGAGGCAAGCGUUAUCCGGAUUUAGUGGGUUUAAAGGGUGCGUAGGCUGUGAGGUAAGUCAGCGGUGAAAUGCCCCCGCUCAACGGGGUGAAGUGCCAUUGAUACUGCCUUGCUGGACUGCGGCUGCCGUGGGCGGACUGUGUGGUGUCGCGG